rnacentral:misc_RNA from 1 species
AUGAGUAAAAAAAGAAUCGCCGUGAAACCGUGUGGGAAAAAAAGCAGAAGCUCGCGAUGCCUGCGCGCGAGGCAACAGGUCGCAGUGGCCUGAAUUCCGCAGCUGAGAAGUCGGUGCAGGCGGCUUCGUAAGUGAGGUGAGUUUCGUGUGAGAGGUGUGUAGGUAUAUCGGUUACGCAGGUGUGGAGUAAGGCGGGUGUAACGCACUCGGGAUGAGCGAAGAAAAAGAAGUUGGAGAAAGAGAGAAAAAAGGAAAAGGUAAUGGGAGGAUAGCCGGAGUGGUAGUUUCGUUCGGAUUCGUAGACCGAGUUUAUCGAGGCAUUCAGGUAUGCGUUGUACGUUUUGAACUGUAUAUGAAACUAUAAUUCGUUGAAAAAUAUGCGUUUCUCAAGGUGUAAGUGCAAGUUUUUCUGGCUAUCUAAUAGAAAGAAGAAGAAGAAGAAAAUAAGGUGGAGGAAGUAGAGAGCGCAGGGAGUAGGAGCAGGAGCGUGAGGGACGGUAGAAGGGUUCUUAGAAAAUGGUGGGAGAGAAAAAAGGUGGGGAAAAUCGAGCUCGCGAGCAACACCUGGAUGACUUCCUGCCGUCGCUUAUAUUUCAGUCUCGAAGAAGUGAGAUUCUCGAUCGGUCGUCGACGCGUCUUAACCAGAAUAUACCUUCGAACGUUAACGUAAAUGGAGUGUCAGCCGCAGCUGUUUCCGCUGCGGGAUGCGGAUAUCCAGGUGCGCCAGCUCACAGUUUCGUACGAUUCGAAGUGCCGGGCGAAGAUGCGGUCGUCGACGAGGUCGAGUCUCCGCUGAACGUGGCUUUCCAUGAACACGGUACCGUCGCCAUAUAUUCAUGCGAACGUGGAUUCGAAUUACUCGGACCCGCAAGGAGACAGUGCAGAGACAAUGGGACCUGGGUGCCGGACGGAGUGCCUUUUUGUGUGCUGAACGUGGCCGGGGGCAAGGCUCCGAUGCAGUCGAGUACCGCGGACGGCGGAAUUCCUCAGAGAGCCGUGGACGGAAGUAGUGGACAGAUUUACACACCUCAAACAUGCACCCUGACCAGACCGGAGACGUCCCCCUGGUGGUACGUGAACCUGCUGGAACCGUACAUGGUGCAGCUGGUGAGAUUGGAUUUCGGGAAGCCGUGCUGCGGCGAAGGAUUACCGGGCACCAUCGUCGUUCGUGUGGGUAAUAACAGACCCGACUUGGGAACGAAUCCUAUUUGCAAUCGGUUUACUGGACCGUUGGAAGAAGGCCAGCCUCUUUUUCUCCCCUGCAAUCCUCCGAUGCCAGGAGCCUUCGUAUCCGUCCACUUGGAAGCGGCCACUACCAGUCCUGUACCUGUUCAAUUGUCCCUCUGCGAAGCUUUCGUCUACACAGAUCAGGCACUGCCCAUCGAAAGGUGUCCGCAAUUCAGAGACCAACCGCCCGGUUCUACAGCCACUUACAACGGCAAGUGCUACAUAUUCUACAACAGGCAACCGAUCCCCUUCAGAGAUGCUCUAGGCUUUUGUCGUGCUCGAGGAGGAACUCUAGUCGACGAAAGUAAUCCGGCACUACAAGGUUUCAUCUCAUGGGAGCUGUGGAGGAGACAUAGGAGCGACACGUCGAGCCAGUACUGGAUGGGAGCGGUACGAGACCCCAAGAACAGGACUACUUGGCGAUGGACCGGAAGUGGAGACGAGGUGUCAGUCUCCUUCUGGAGCCUGCCUCAAGGCACGAACGAAGAUUGCGCGCGCUACGACGGCAGCAGAGGAUGGCUCUGGUCCGACACCCCGUGCACCGCCAGGCUGAACUAUAUCUGCCAACACCAACCACGAGCUUGCGGUCGUCCAGAGCAGCCACCGAACUCUACGAUGACAGCGAGCCUGAUGGAGGCGACUUCGAGAGGAAGCUACGAAGUUGGGGCCACCGUGGAGUACAAUUGUAACGCUGGAAGUCUGCUAAUCGGACCUUCCACUCGAACCUGCCUCGACACCGGUUUCUACAACGAAUUCCCACCCGUUUGCAAAAAUAUCGAGUGCGGAUACCCGGCCAACAUAAGACACGGAGAGUACACUCUGAUCAACAACACCGUUAACUAUCUGAGCCAAGUUCUCUACUCUUGCGAAGACGGAUACGAAAUGACAGGAAGGGCACGGUUGACUUGCGACAUCGACGAGAGGUGGAACGGCCCUCCACCUCGUUGCGAGCCUGUCCGAUGCGACUUACCACCAGUAAUUGCCCACGGUCGCUACGAGGCAGUGGUGGACAGCGAAGAGACGGGGUUGAAAAAGAACAAUCAAACUCUCAUCGCUGGGAGCAUCGUAACCUACACUUGCGAAAAGGGCUACCGACUGGUUGGUUCCAGGCAAAUACUGUGUCUCGCGACUGGCUCCUACGAUCACUUGGCACCGACCUGUGCUGAAGAGCCACGUCCCACCGUCACAGUCCCGACUCGAGUGACCAAUCGGCCCACCGUGACUCGAGGACGUCCGCUGAUCCCAACGAGGACGAGAUCCCCGACCACGCCGUCCCCCACGAGCACUGUUGGGACAUCUCCGAUCACACCUGUCAGGGUUAUCGGGCACGCGGAGUUGCCGGCGACCGUUAAAGAAUCGAUUCCCAGAAAACCCUCGGUCUCGUUGAAGAAUCCUGCCCCCACAGCUGCCACUGACGAAAUUCGCGAUCAUCCUCAAGACAACGAAAUCGCCGGUAGCGGAGUCGACAACGUUCAAGCCGGGGUGGGAGCUGGCGUCCCAGAACCCUCGGGCCCGUUCAGAGUCGACAGUGCUGACCAGCCCUCGAACACCCACCAAGCCAAGCUGAACCUUGGGGCUGUCAUAGCUCUGGGAGUAUUCGGGGGAUUCGUUUUCCUCGCCGCUAUUAUUACGACCGUAGUAAUACUGAUCCGCAGUGGCAGUGGCGGCGUCGGAGGAAGGCGCCGCAGGGGGCUCGGUGGGGUGGGAGGGUUGGGGGGUGGCGGAGGUAGUGGCCUUGGAAGAGGUGACGCUGCGAUGCCCUCACGAUGGUACACGCUUCUGGCGCUACCCUUCCCCGACCAGCACCUGGGGCGCCGAGACCUUACGGCCCGCCGUGGCAGCGACCACCCCUAUUCCUUCGGUCUCUCAGCUGCUCAUCGUGCCGGUUACUUCUCCAACCCUUCCCUGUAACUCUAACUCGUUCCCUCCCCCCCAACCAACGCCCACCGAAACAUCAAUCAUCAACACCGCCGCCACACGCGCGCUACCCUUACGAGUGUCACUAGUCAAGGAACCGCGGUAGAGGAAGCAAGCAUUACCGUCAUCGGGCAUCCCCUGACUGCAACACCGUAGCUAGUUUCGACAGUAAUUCCUCC